rnacentral:lncRNA from 13 species
AGAGUGAGAAGCAACAACACACGGAAAGGAAAGUGCGUAGCAUAGAAGAUAGUAGGACAAUAUAAAUAGCGAUAUAAUAAUAGUUUUAGUUUGUCCAACAAUUUCAAAAUGUUGGAGACCAAAGCCGCCGAGUGGUAGCAAUCCCAUGGUGGGGAAUAGAAAGCGGAUGAAAGACUCGCGAUGAAAAGGAGAAUGAGGAGGAGAACGUUAUAGAGCUUUAUAUACGUUCUGUGAGAGAGCGUUCGCGGAAAAACUAUCUAUAGGGAAUACGUAGUAUCUUUUAAGAAAGUUAAGUCAGAUUAGAAAUUACGAAACGUAAUUAUGAUUUAAUAAAAUUAAAUUUUAUUAGUCAGCGCAAUUGAAUCAGUGCAAGUUUACUUUGUAAAAGAUUACCACCGCGAGUGUGAUUGAAUGCGUGUGCGGGUAUUAAUAAUGAGUGAUGCAUUUAUAUAAUAAUUAAUAAACUCGAAAUAAUGAUAUUUAUCUGUGCAAUUACCCAUACCAGAAAAUUUUUUCACGUAGAUUUCCUUAGCGUUUUGGAGAACGCAAGCUAGACUGAUAGAAUCCGUGAAUAAGAAUUAAAUUAAUGACUGUACCGAUGUGCCAUACGAGCAGGAUUGCAGCUGAUCAACAGCAGCGAAUGACCAAAACCAGGCGAUGCUAUAUGAACAAUAAUCCUGCAAUGAUACCGAGACGCCUUCGAGACUAGACGAAAGCAACAUAGCGUGGUACGCAAGUUUCUUUUUGCUAGGAUGGUAAAAGCAAGUGACGACCGCGUAGGUAUUUUGUAAGCGGAGCGGCGGUCCGCAGUGUACCGUACAAACAUGCGACUUCAACGCGGGUGCGGUUUUGCGCAUUUUAUAUGCAGAUUUAAAGAAUGGAAGGGGAAAACGAUAAAUUCAUUUUUUUAUCAUCUUUCUGUUUUGGUUAUCGAUACUUUAUUUAAGAUUACUUCUUAUAAAAGGUGUAAACAACUAUCAAUAAACACUCUGUAUAGCGGUUAAAUGAUAACAAUAAUCUCCGGUGCGCGAUAAUAAAGUGAUAAACAACAGCCCAAAUUCGUGAAAUGAUUGAUCGUCUUGCGUAACAAAUCAAUAAAUCAGCGACAUCGUUUGACCGAUUUAUUCCUAUAAA